rnacentral:rRNA from 1 species
UAGCGGAAGCCGGGAAUGGGAUCCCGGUGCAAGCGAGGUACCAGCCGCAUUGGAAAAACCGUGCGGCAAUGGGAAGACGUGAUGCGGAGUGAAGUUUAGUAAUGAAGUCCGUGAGCUGUGCGUCAAGAAAAGCCGCUAUUGUUCAUACCAUACCCGUACCGUAAACCGACACAGGUGGAUGAGGAGAGAAUCCUAAGGCCGGCGGAAGAAGCAUUGUCAAGGAACUCGGCAAAAUGACCCCGUAACCUCGGGAGAAGGGGUGCCUGCGAGAGCAGGCCGCAGAGAAUAGGCUCAAGCAACUGUUUAGCAAAAACACAGGUCUAUGCGAAACCGAAAGGUGAGGUAUAUGGGCUGACGCCUGCCCGGUGCUGGAAGGUUAAGAGGAGAGGUUAGCGCAAGCGAAGCUUUGAAUUUAAGCCCCAGUAAACGGCGGCCGUAACAAUAACGGUCCUAAGGUAGCGAAAUUCCUUGUCGGGUAAGUUCCGACCCGCACGAAAGGCGUAAUGAUUUGAGCGCUGUCUCGACAAUGCAUCCGGUGAAAUUGAAGUACCAGUGAAGAUGCUGGUUACCUGCGCCAGGACGGAAAGACCCCAUGGAGCUUUACUCCAGUUUGGUACUGGGAUCCGGUACUGCAUGUACAGGAUAGGUGGGAGGCUAUGAAUCGGUAACGCCAGUUGCCGAGGAGCCGCUGUUGGGAUACCACCCUUGCAGUAUUGGGUUUCUAACCAGCCGCCGUGACCCGGCGGUGGGACAAUGCCAGACGGGGAGUUUGACUGGGGCGGUCGCCUCCGAAAGGGUAUCGGAGGCGCCCAAAGGUUCCCUCAGGAUGGACGGAAACCAUCCAAAGAGUGCAAAGGCAGAAGGGAGCUUGACUGCGACACCGACGGGUGGAGCAGGUACGAAAGUAGGGCUUAGUGAUCCGGUGGUAUUAAGUGGGAAUGCCAUCGCUCAACGGAUAAAAGCUACCCUGGGGUAACAGGCUUAUCACUCCCAAGAGUUCACAUCGACGGAGUGGUUUGGCACCUCGAUGUCGGCUCAUCGCAUCCUGGGGCUGUAGUAGGUCCCAAGGGUUGGGCUGUUCGCCCAUUAAAGCGGUACGCGAGCUGGGUUCAGAACGUCGUGAGACAGUUCGGUCCCUAUCUGGCGUGGGCGUAGGAUAUCUGAGAGGAGCUGUCCUUAGUACGAGAGGACCGGGAUGGACGGGCCGCUGGUGCACCGGUUAGACUGCCAAGUCUAUAGCCGGGUAGCCAAGCCCGGAAGGGAUAAACGCUGAAGGCAUCUAAGCGUGAAGCCCCCCUCAAGAUGAGAUAUCCCAUCCGAAAGGAGUAAACCCCCUUGAAGACGACGAGGUCGAUAGGGCAGAGGUGGAAGUGUGGUAACACAUGGAGCUGACUGCUACUAAUAGGGUGAGGGCUUGACC